UACAGAGGGGGCUAGCGUUAUUCGGAAUUAUUGGGCGUAAAGAGCGUGUAGGCGGUUUGGUAGGUCCGUUGUGAAAACUCGAGGCUCAACCUCGAGACGCCGAUGGAAACCAUCAGACUAGAGUCCGGAAGAGGAGAGUGGAAUUCCUGGUGUAGCGGUGAAAUGCGCAGAUAUCAGGAAGAACACCCGUGGCUAAGGCGGCUCUCUAGUACGGUACUGACGCUGAGACGCGAAAGCGUGGGGAGCGAACAGG
rnacentral:rRNA from 1 species